rnacentral:lncRNA from 1 species
AAAAAAAAAAAAAAAAAGAAUUGAAACUAUUUUUGCCUAGCAAGUUACAUUCUUCUGAUGAAGGAUACUAUAUUACAGCACAUGGUAUACAACAGUGGUCAAAGAAACACCACAUCAAAUGAACAUAUAGUAUCCUUUAUCAUCUGCAGAGUAGUGGAAAUAUUUGGAAUCAUUAAUUGAAAUAUCUGCUUAAAAAAACUAAAGUCAGGGUAGUGCAGUGAUAAAGGACGAAAAGGCUCAUUUACUAAGUUGUGCAUUAAAAUUAAGCAUGAGACGAUCAUGUGGUUUUUGUCAUUUGUUCUGUUUAUGUGGUGAAUAACAUUUAUUGAUUUACGUAUGUUGAACCAACAUUGCAUCCCAUGGAUAAAGCCUACUUGAUUGCAGUGUAUUAGCUUUUUGAUGUGCUGCUGGAUACAUCGUGAUUGUUUUGUUUUGUUUUGUUUUGUUUUUUAGGAUUUUUGUGUCUAUAUUCAUCAGGAUACUGGCCUGCAGUUUUCUUUUUUGUUGUAUCUCUGCUAGGUUUUGGUAUCAGGAUAAUGCUGGUCUCAUAAAAUGAAUUAGCAAGGAGUCCCUCCUCCUCAAUUUUUUGGAAUGGUUUCAGUAGGAAUGGUACCUGCUCUUCCUUACAUAUCUAGUAGAAUUCAGCUGAGAACCUGGCUGGUGCUGGGCUUUUUCUGGUUGGUAGGAUUUUAUUACUGAUUCAUUUUUGGAAUUCACCAUUGGUCUGUACAGAGAUUCAAUCUAAAUGCCCAUCAAUGGUAGACUGGAUUUUAAAAAUGUGGUACACAUACACCAUGGAAUACUAUGUAGCCACAAAAAAGAAUGAGAUUUUGUCCUUUGAAGGAACAUGGAUGGAGCUGGAGGCCAUUAUCUAAGCAAACUAACACAGGAACAGAAAACCCAAAACCCCAUGUUCUCACUUAUAAGUGGAAGCUAAACAUCAAAUACAUAUGGACACAAAGAAGAGAACAACAAAUAUUGGGGCCUUCUUGAGGGUGGAGGAUGGGAGGGUGAAGACAGAAAAACCAUCUUUCAGGUGCUAUGCUUAUUACCUGGGUGACAAAAUAAUUUGUACAUCAAACCCCCCCAUGACAUGCAAUUUACCUACGUAGCAAACCCGCACAUAUACUCCUGAAUCUAAAACAAAAGUAAAACAUAAAAAUAAAAAGGUAAACAUGAGAUAAAUCAAAGAUGGCUUACUAUUAGAUAAAUUUCCUAGAUACAGAGGUAGAGGAAACAACGAUUUGGGGAUGAAACCAGCACGUAUCUACAAGUCUUUCCAAACACAUCACAAUUUUCUUCUUUUCUGCCUUACGCUAUAAUUUCUGAGUCCAGUUUAAAAUGAACAGAUCUUGAAGCAUCACUCAUAUUUAAACAGGAGUUACUGUCUAUAGUUUUUAAUUUAACUGAAUUCAGAAGGGGUUGCUGGACCAGAUGGAGGACUGGCAAAUGACAGUCAUGGGGAACUGUGGCCUGCUGCCUAUUUUUGUAGGGCUCUGACUACAAUAGAUUUUAUAUUUUGACAUCUUUUUAAAUUUAAAAUAAGAAUAACAUUUUUAUAAUUAAAAUUAUAUUCAUAAAAUUUAUAUGAAAUUCACAUUUGUGUCCAUAAAGUUUUAUUGGAACACAACCAUGUUCACUAGUUUACAUAUUCCCCAUGGCUGUUUUCACACUAUCAGGGUACAACAGAGUAGUUGCAACAGAAACCACAGAAGCUAGAAUGUCCCGUCCUCUCACCUGGCCUAACUGGGCCUUCAGGUACAAAUGCUUUGUUACCAAGUAGAAGUAGCAGGCCAGUAAGUGUGUACAUUUCUAAUCCUACCCCAUAUGAAUGAAAAUAAAUCAUGAGAGAGGCACUGGCACGAUUCUUAUUUCCAGUGAAUGGAUUAGCUCGAUGGUCAAGCCUGAUGUUUCUUUUUGGAGAGGAAAGUUUGGGUUAAAAUAAGUGAUAGAUAAAAAGAAAGUGGCAUAAUUACCUAAAUAAGAUAUCUCACAAAUAUACUAUUAAAAGGGAAUAGUUAUUAAAAGGGAAUAGUUAUGUAUUAACUAUUAAAAGGGAAUAGUUAUGUAACUAUUAAAAGGGAAAAUCAAACAUAGCUUUGUUUACGACAGCCUUAGAGCAAGAAAAUAAUUUUCUCUCUUACCUUUUAUUCAGACACCUGUAAGAGUGAAAUAAAUUGUCUCUCUAAGACCCUACCAUUUCUAGAGCAAAAUGCCACGGAUCUGGGAGGCAGCAGGCUUGAGCAACAUCGUUACUGGAGUGAUGUACAGCAUAUGCUUCAGUGAAACAAAGGAAAUUCAGGUUUCACACACACACAUGCUGAUGUGGUUUGUAUCUGGAGAUAAAAUGCAUCCUGUAUGACCCAGUGGUGGUAGGACAAAGAAGUCUGUGUGUGAGUUCCAUGGAUGGAUCCCUCAACAAACAACCCUCUCCUACUGUUGCUGUGCCCUUUGCCUGUGAUACAGCCCUUUUUUGAGUAUAAGCUGCUUGAGUCCUGUGAAUUUCUUCAGCAAUCCAACACCAACAUUCUUACCACCUGGUAAGACUAAACAACUUAAUAUAUAUAAAAGCAAAUAAAAUACUUCUACGUGAAAACUAUCUCAAUAAAUGUCUAUGUCUUUCAUUAAAUACUGCUUCACUGAUUAAAUAAUGUAUAGGUAUAGGAAGCAUGUCCCUAUCUCUGAGUUUCAUCUGCAAAAUGGAGAUAACAUCUUUGAAAUCAGAUUUUAAUUCAUAAAUGUAUGUAAAU